UUUAUGCUUCACUUUGCAAGCAUUUAAGGAAGGGUCUUUCUGAAAGUCUUGGUCUAUUACAACUGUGCUGUAGAAAACCAAAGACAGGGCGGUUUGUUGACACCUGGGCCCUUGACGUAGCCUAUGAUCAGCAUAAUCUCAGGGUGAAUGAGCUGGUGGAUGCAGGAAUCAACAUGACAGAAUUCUGGGAUGGAGGGGACCUAGAGAAGGCUGGCUCUGACUAUUACAACCUUAGCACGGUGUCUUUUUGGAAUUUUUCUCAUGUUGGGCCUUAGAGGACAUGAGGUUUUGCUUCAGUUCCAGCAGGACCAGUUGCAGAGAACUUUCUGUUUCCAUGUGUCAAGGUCUGAGGGUCCAUCAGCACGGCAAGGGGAGGGGUAAAAGGAGAGGGAGGAAAGGCAAGAAGGGUAGGUUCACUGCACCUCAAGUCCCAGCCCUUCCCCCAGUUCCACACAUCCACCUGGUUCUUUCCACCGUGAAGUCACUGCAGUUUUCUGUGCUUGCUCUCUGUCCCUGACCCUGUUCCCUUGCUAGGGACAGGUGGAGAGCACGUGUCUCUGUUGUGCCCAGUGGGCGUGGCGGCAUCCUGAAUCCAUGGCACAGGCACAAGCCGUCUGCUCUCCAGGUUCAGCAGGGGCUUCUUUCCCAGGCCUGGCCCCGGAGGGUCCCCUGGGAGCCAGAGUGCUCCACUGAAAGGUUGUGGCAUCUGGAGGGUCCCCCAGCCAAGCUUCCAAGACAGCUGGUCAACAAGAGGCUGAUGGAGGCGGAAGGCCAGGUAUCCGGCAUCACUUCCACAUCAGCAGAAACAUUCCCUGUUUGCAGAGCACUGCCCUCAGGGCGGCCAGUCCAAGAAAGAAUCAUAAGCUCCUUUAGGAAGCUCUGAUGAAAUCACUAGAAGAGACCGUUGCAGAGGGGUGUGU
rnacentral:lncRNA from 1 species